rnacentral:misc_RNA from 1 species
UUGACAGCAAAACAGGAUAACAGAGCUGAUCAAUCUACCACUUCCACCAUCACCUUUCAACAAUUGAUCGGAAUUUAAAAUUUGAACUUCAAGAGUCUCUUAGUAGGCAAAUAAUCUGAUUGGAGAGAUAAUGAUAACAAACAGAAGGCCAUUGAUGGGGAUCUUUGUGCAAGACUUCUGAAUAAGUUUUAUUUAGUAGGAAAGAAAAGCAUGUAGUGACUUGGGAUACUUAUUUCUUCCGUUGUAUGGGUAUAUAUAUAAAAAUAUCAUAUAUUAGCACUCGGGAAAAUAAAUGUAUUUAUUUUUGCAGAAAAAGCGAGUAUGAUUGUGGAUUUAUCUGACUUGUGUUUGGUUGUCUGUUUGUGAAAUCUGUUUAUAAAUUGAAUUAAAGGGAAGACCAUCAAUGUAUUAUUGGUUGAGUAGGGAUUAGGAGUUUUCAUGGUCCAUUCUGUGUCGUGUUUUUUAUGAUGGUAGACAUUAUCAAUCCAACUGCUUUCAUGUUUUUGGGAAAACAUUUGAAUUCUAGAAGGUACACAUGGUUUUGAGUUCAUAUUUGCUGUAAUGCUUUGGCAGAAAAAUUCUUCCUUCUUUUCCCUUAUUCAGCAAAGUUUGUGUGGAUUUUGUGUUGAAAUAUGCUUAAUAGUGGUUGCUAUUUCCAUUGCAAUCAUGCAUACACAAAAUUAGUUGUUCUAGUCUUCAUAUUAUUUUAUUUUGUACUAUUAAAGCUUGUGGGUGAGUUUGGAGCUUCUUGUUUUGAUCUUGGGUAUUUGUUUUUUCUUUGCAUUAUAAAACUAUAAAGUGAAUGUAAGUUAUGUAGAACCAUAGUUAUCAGUGAUGCACCGCAAGUGCUUCUAGGCUUUUGGUUCACCCAUCUUGCGGCACCUCAAUUGGUUCCUGUUACUAAAGUUUGGUGCAGCUCUUUAAGUGAUGCCUUGAUAUGCACCUUAGGGACUUGAGGCUUUUGCUUUUUUUUUUUUUUUUAA